CAAAUGCUUUACAUACACCACGUGGUUGAUUUCGUCUCCACCGGCAAGCUACAAAGCAGAAAUGGUGACUGUUUUAUCAGUAAAGAUGCCAAGGCCUACAUGGAUCAAAAAGUUGCCCAGGGUCAGAGCAGGUAACUCAGACCUGGAAUCCUAAUCCAGAUCUUUCUGUCCUGAAAGCGCUCUUCCGUCCUUGUCAUUGGCCAGAAAAUGGGACAUUAUGAGACUCUGGAUUCUGCUGGAGGAAGACACUGCCCCUGUACGCCCAGACUCCACGCCUCGAUCUAUGGAAAACACAAACAGGCAGCGACGACUGGCCCUGCGCGACGCCGAGUCCGCUGCUGAUUUGCUCCUGACCUUCCAGCCUCGACAGCUGUGGGAAGUCACCAUCUAUUGUUUGAGCCCCCGGUCCACGGUCCACGGGGCAGGGAGCCCCCUGGAGUUCACAGCUGCCCGGUGUCCCAGGAGCCAAGGAGCAGCCCCCCCCCCACCCCGGGGACAGGGGGAGAGCCCGGCCGUGGCCAGCACCGGGUUUGCUUCCAGGGCUCAGGCCGGGGACCGGUGUUGGGGCAUCUCCCAGGUGAUAUGGGACCGCAGGGCCAACCGCGUGUCCUCGUGGUGGCCGUGUGCAUUCGGUGUGACGAAGCCCCAGCUUGUUUGGCCGCCCAGAUCCAAGCCACCUUCUCCGUGUCACAAGGUGAGGCAGGCUUUGCGCGGGGGCCGCACCUGUGGCCUCAGAUGCCAGGCUGGGGGCUUGGGGAGGGCAAGGUCCCUGUGGGCUCCGGGCUCUUCCUUUGCACGAAGGAAGGUCAGAGAUGCCUGUUGCCGUGGGGGUGGCAUCCCGGGGACAGCCGUCCCUGGCAGGAGGUCCUCCGUGAAGUAGGGCCAGGUUGUUGAGGCCUACGGAGGCCACCAACUGCGCAGCCGCAGGACCACGCGGCUCCCUGGACGUUACCCUCAGCGCCAAGCCCGGUCCCUGGUGUUCCCAGUGCCUCCUGCUCAGAGCACGAGCACGACUUGGCCACCGCUCCGUCUCAGCGCCGGCCUGGGGUCACAGGGCUGCUUCCUGUCUGGCUCGGCCGCUGCGAGGCCACCUCCAUGAGCUCCAGGCUCCGUCCCUGCACGCAACAAGCAAGUGGGCUCCACACAUGUGGCCACAUGGGCCGGGUGCAUGCACACGCGGGCACACCCAGCGGCGCCCUCCCGCUCCCCCGGGGUGGGAUACCUAGAAGCUCUGCUCUCGCCCUCAGUGACAGGGACGUCCUUCCUGGGCCCCUGGGGCCUUGGGACUGUCCCCGACCUCCUUUUACUCUGCGGCAAACCCUGUGGCGACCCCGUGGACUGUGUAUCCCCCGCUACUCGCCCCGACCUGGGGCUGGACUCAGCCCUGGAGACAGGGCUGUGGGCCUGGGGGAGUCAGCCCAGUGCAGCAGCUCCCCGGGCCGGCACCUGCCCGUGGCCACGAGCAUCUGGCAGCUGCAUCGCCUACAUGGGCUUCUCCUCAGCUGCGUGUCCGUCACCCCGAGCCAGGGCGCCACACCAGGUCCUUGGUGUCCCCAGGUCAGAUGUCCCCAAACGAGCAGCACAAGGCAGCGCAGGUAUGGACGGCUUCAGGAGAGCCCAUGGACUGGCCGGUGCCGCGGGGCCCAGGUGACACCCCCGGGGGCCUGGGGACUCAGGGCUCAGGGAGUCACCCGGGGAAUGACACCCUCUCAGGUCGCAACCCCGGGACCCCCGCUGCCCUCUGGGAACCCCGGGAGGGUGCAGGAGUCUGGGGAACGGGCCCGGUGGACGGCCUGAGCAUGAGGACAGGACAAGGUCAGGGGCGGGGCCACCGAGGUCGCUGGGGCUGGGGCUGCCCCCCCAGGCCAGUGUCUGGGUGAGGUCCCCGGGGCGCGUGGCUCUGGGAGUCACCCGGGACCUGACGGUGCCCGUGAGAACCUUCCCUGGCCUUACGCUCGCUGGUGGCAGAAGACAAGGCCAACCGGUCCCCACAGCAAGGUGGCCAGAGGGCAAGCUGGGCCCUGGUGACAGUAGUGGGAGCAGGACUAGGCCUGGGAUCCUGGGGGUGGAUGGUGUGCUCUAUGAGGGGGGCUUCUGGAAGGUUCUCCUGAGCUGUAGUGGGAGCAGGACUAGGCCUGGUAUCCUGGUGGGGGGUGCUCUAUGAGGAGUCAUGGAGGACUGUUUCCCCACAUUCUGCACUGGAAUCUCCCACGGAAACGUCUUGUCCACCCAGCACAGAACACCUGAUGCUACUACAGAUUUCGUCUCUGUAGCUUCUCGAUUUCAUGGCCUACGUCGGUGUCGCCAGGGUAGUGUCAGCCCGUUAUUGUUCGCAGCACAUGACCGACCCUGAGUAGCUACUCUCUGAGUUUCCUGCAGGCCGUGGCAAGGGGGACAGGUCAUGCUGAUCUCCCUCGCUGUCGUGUUCCCGGGGGCCCGUGCUGCCGCCCUUGCAAGGGUAUGAGCGUCGGGAGCAGAGGGUGAGCGCUGGGCCAGAUGGGGCAGGAGGGGGUGCCCGGCACAGGCCAGGCCAGUCCCCCUGUUCUCGGAUGCUGCGCAGUCCAGCAGCGGUGACCAUGUCGGGCCUUCUGGCCUGGUUCACCUUUGACCCUGCGUGGCCCCUCCCGGCCCUUUGGCCAGCGGGUGGUGGCUUCGGGGACCCGGAGGGUUGGGGGGGCAGCACAUCAAGGGAGCUGCCCACGGAGGCACAAUUAUGUAGCAUCACCACACCCGCACGGGACUCAGGGGGCCCCCAAGGGGCGUGACACCCCUGGCUUCUCCAACCUGAGCCCUCUGCCCGCAGGAGGCCAGCUCCUCAGGGCGGGACAUGCAGAAGCACCGAGUCUGCCUGUGAAGCCAGGCCUGCUGCUCCCGGGGCCGACACCCAGACAGGGACCCAACGUCACCCCCGCCGGCACCCCUCCCUCAGUGGGAACUUCCAUCCACCUGCCGAGAAACUUCCUUCUGAGCCCCCAUUAACGACAGCACUUAUUUUAUACGAGAAUCCAUUUCAUGCGAAUUAGGGGACUGUUUCCCCAGUGAUACGACCGCAGGCUCCGCAAGGGACAGACGCGUCUUAUGGACACGAGGUCAGAAAGUCGGCCUCCGCGCCUCGCAGCAAUUGACUAGCCACUCUGAAUUAUUUCGUAAUAGAAUUACUGCCUCUGCUGGCCCAUCUUUUAAAAACGCACCGUGAAGGAGGGGCUAACUGGAUUUCCCCUGUACUCUUUAUUUUAGUUUUUUUUAAUAAAUUUAUUUUUUAUUGGUGUUCAGUUUGCCAACAUAUAGAAUAACACCCAGUGCUCAUCCCAUCAAGUGCCCCCCUCAGUGCCCGUCACCCGUACUCUUUAAAAACAUACUUGCAGGAAGAGGAACUCAGAAGGGACACGGGUGGGAGCGGGGACAUGAAGCAGGUCCCCAGUCUUGGGGAACCCUGACCACAGCAGCCAGGGGCCCGCCCGGCAGCUCACGCGUAAGGGGACCAGCGGCUGGUUGGGGAGAGAUGCUGAAGUCGAGCCCAGAUGGCUUUGUGGUGCGGAGGGCGAUCGGGGAAGGUACGAGCAAGCCAGAGUGACCCUGGAGACGGGGUCUCCUGGGGACAGAGCCGGUGGGCAGCGGCAGGAGGAGUGGGUUUUGCUGUAAUGGGGUCUUUGUCUCCCCCAGGUGUCCUUUGCUCCGUGUCUCUCCGUGGCCCUAAUAACUACUUGGGGAUGGGAACAGAAGGGCAAAUGUCCUGAUACCAGGUUAUUAAUGUUUUUAAGAUGGAUUUUGAAGAAUAAAAACAGAAAUGACAAGUAAA